rnacentral:rRNA from 1 species
CCCCGAGCUUAACUUGGGAACUGCAUUUGAAACUGGCAAGCUAGAGUCUUGUAGAGGGGGGUAGAAUUCCAGGUGUAGCGGUGAAAUGCGUAGAGAUCUGGAGGAAUACCGGUGGCGAAGGCGGCCCCCUGGACAAAGACUGACGCUCAGGUGCGAAAGCGUGGGGAGCAAACAGGAUUAGAUACCCUGGUAGUCCACGCUGUAAACGAUGUCGACUUGGAGGUUGUGCCCUUGAGGCGUGGCUUCCGGAGCUAACGCGUUAAGUCGACCGCCUGGGGAGUACGGCCGCAAGGUUAAAACUCAAAUGAAUUGACGG